rnacentral:rRNA from 1 species
CGUUGAUUACGUCCCUGCCCUUUGUACACACCGCCCGUCGCUACUACCGAUUGAAUGGCUCAGUGAGGCGUCCGGACUGGCCCAGAGAGGUGGGCAACUACCACUCAGGGCCGGAAAGCUCUCCAAACUCGGUCAUUUAGAGGAAGUAAAAGUCGUAACAAGGUCCUCCG